UCGAGAGGCUUCGGCAAUGGGGGAAACCCUGACCGAGCGACGCCGCGUGAGGGAUGACGCCCUUCGGGGUGUAAACCUCUUUUCUGAGGGAAGAACCCCGGGGAGUCGAAUAGGCUCUCCGGCUGACGGUACCUUAGGAAUAAGCUCCGGCCAACUCCGUGCCAGCAGCCGCGGUAACACGGGGGGAGCAAACGUUGUUCGGAAUUACUGGGCGUAAAGGGCGCGUAGGCGGCCUCGUAAGUGGUGUGUGAAAUGUCCUGGCUCAACCAGGGAAUUGCGCUCCAAACUGCGGGGCUUGAGGGCAGUAGAGGAAGCUGGAAUUCCAGGUGUAGCGGUGAAAUGCGUAGAUAUCUGGAGGAACACCAUUGGCGAAGGCGAGCUUCUGGGCUGUCCCUGACGCUGAUGCGCGAAAGCUGGGGGAGCAAACAGGAUUAGAUACCCUGGUAGUCCCAGCUGUAAACGGUGAACACUAGGUGUGGGAGGUGUCGACCCUUUCCGUGCCGCAGCUAACGCAUUAAGUGUUCCGCCUGGGGAGUACGGUCGCAAGGCUGA
rnacentral:rRNA from 1 species